rnacentral:rRNA from 1 species
UUGAACGCUGGCGGCAUGCUUUACACAUGCAAGUCGAACGGCAGCACGGGGGCAACCCUGGUGGCGAGUGGCGAACGGGUGAGUAAUAUAUCGGAACAUGUCCGGAAGUGGGGGAUAACGUAGCGAAAGUUACGCUAAUACCGCAUAUGCCCUGAGGGGGAAAGGGGGGGAUCGCAAGACCUCUCGCUUUCGGAGUGGCCGAUAUCGGAUUAGCUAGUUGGUGGGGUAAAGGCUCACCAAGGCGACGAUCCGUAGCUGGUCUGAGAGGGCGACCAGCCACACUGGGACUGAGACACGGCCCAGACUCCUACGGGAGGCAGCAGUGGGGAAUUUUGGACAAUGGGCGCAAGCCUGAUCCAGCAAUGCCGCGUGCAGGAUGAAGGCCUUCGGGUUGUAAACUGCUUUUGUACGGAGCGAAAAGGUCUGCCCUAAUACGGUGGGCUCAUGACGGUACCGUAAGAAUAAGCACCGGCUAACUACGU